rnacentral:tRNA from 1 species
AGUAGGGUGAUCGAGAUCAUUAGGUGAAAGAUUGUAAAUCUUUUUAGGGGUAAAUUUAAUUACCCUCCUACUA